GUUAUCCUCGACGAUCCUCAGCUCGAAGUUCAUGCUGAGUUGGUUGUCUCGGUGGAAGAGGAGGAUGCAAUAUAUGUACGUGAAUUACUUGUUCCCCCUACUGAAGACGAUCCAGUAUUUGAGUCCGUUCCGGAUAGAAAUAUAGAGCGCCAUCCGGAACUUCCACUUAGGA